GUGUUAGUCUAAAGGUGCCAAAAGAGGUGUGGGGCCAUUGAUGUGUAUUCUUGCAAAGGGACUCCUUUGGUUGAUCUCCAAGUGUUGGAUUUUCUCUUGCUGGCUGUUUAAAUCUCCAUCCCCUUCUACUCACCCCUAUUCAUGAUCAAUUACUUUGAUGGGAUUUGGAUCAAUUUACCUGGAUUCAGCAAAUUGGUUUUAAACAAUUUACAGGCAAGGCGAAGACGGAGUCGGUGGUUUCGACAUCUCCAUAUUGAGAUUACAUAUGUGUAUGUAUUUAUAUCUAUAUACUAUUUUUUAUUUUUUUAGUGAAAAAAUAGUUGAUAUAAAAUAAAAAUCGGUAUAUAUAACGUGCUUCAUCGUGACUUCAAAUAUAAACACAAAGCUGUCCCGUAAGGAAUGGAUUGGUGGUGUGAGGAUUGGACGUGUGAUCGUAAGGUCAUGGUUCAAACCCUGACGCUUCAGAUCACCUAUCACAUAUGAUUCCCAUAGUGUGACUUGCUUGUUGGGCUUAGUAAAUUAAAUUCUAUAAAAUAAAAAAUAUAUGUCUAAAUUAAUACUAUUGAAAUAUAUAUAUAUAUAUAUAUUUUAUUUUAACCCCAAGUGUUUGGGUCUUUUACUAAUAUUUGCUAAGUGCUAAUAUUCAAGUGGCACAACGUGGUAUUUCAGUUUGGUAUAUUUAGGAGAAAACGGCUGUGAAAUACACAGGCUGUUCUUUUUUUUUCUAAUUAUUCAGUUAUAUUUAUAUUUUUUUAAAAAUAGUAUAUUCAAUUAUCAUAUUAACCAAAAAUUAAAAUAAAAAUACAAAACUAAAUACACACGGGCAAUGUUUCAUUUAAAAACAUUUGUGAUUUAAAAAUAUAAUACUAUAUUAAAUAUUUUAAAAAUAAAAUAAAUUUUGACUCGUGGCCUGUUUGGUAAUAAUGGGCCAUAAUAUAUAUAUAUAUAUAUAUAUAACCUUUGUCUUGAACGGCCAUUAUUGAAGAUUAUUUUUUAAUAUAAAAAUUCGUCAUCACUAUUCGGUCGAGUACAUCUUCAGCCGAAUCUAAUACUUUUGCAAAUUAGAUCAAACAAAUUAAAUCUCAUUAGGGAAACUGACAGAUAGAUUAAUUAGUUGGUCGUGAAAACUACUGUAGCAAAUUAAUUAAAUUGUCCCAUGUUUUUUUUAAUUAAUUAAAUUAUAUCGAAUAAUCACCUUCC